AGACCCGAAACCCGGUGAUCUAGCCAUGGGCAGGUUGAAGGUUGGGUAACACUAACUGGAGGACCGAACCGACUAAUGUUGAAAAAUUAGCGGAUGACCUGUGGCUGGGGGUGAAAGGCCAAUCAAACCGGGAGAUAGCUGGUUCUCCCCGAAAGCUAUUUAGGUAGCGCCUCGUGAAUUCAUCUCCGGGGGUAGAGCACUGUUUCGGCUAGGGGGCCAUCCCGGCUUACCAACCCGAUGCAAACUGCGAAUACCGGAGAAUGUUAUCACGGGAGACACACGGCGGGUGCUAACGUCCGUCGUGAAGAGGGAAACAACCCAGACCGCCAGCUAAGGUCCCAAAGUCAUGGUUAAGUGGGAAACGAUGUGGGAAGGCCCAGACAGCCAGGAUGUUGGCUUAGAAGCAGCCAUCAUUUAAAGAAAGCGUAAUAGCUCACUGGUCGAGUCGGCCUGCGCGGAAGAUGUAACGGGGCUAAACCAUGCACCGAAGCUGCGGCAGCGAACGUAUCACCCAAGACAACUUUACGGAGUUGACGAUUGACGGAGCGAAGCGACGUCAAAGCGUUCAUUAAAGUCGAGUUGGCUUAGGGAUACGUUCGUUGGGUAGGGGAGCGUUCUGUAAGCCUGUGAAGGUGUGUCGUGAGGCAUGCUGGAGGUAUCAGAAGUGCGAAUGCUGACAUAAGUAACGAUAAAGCGGGUGAAAAG
rnacentral:rRNA from 2 species